CCUCCUUCUGAAGUCCAAAUUCUACCUUCCCUCUCCUGUUUCCAUGGAACCUUUGCCCUCCGCAAUCACUCUCCGACCCUUCGAGCUCUCCAACGCUGGUGACUUCCUCUCGUGGGCCGGCGACGACAGAGUCACCCGCUACCUCCGCUAGGCCUCCGUCGCCUCCGUGGAGGCUGCCGAGUCGUAUCUCCGGGCCGUCGCCAUUCCCCACCUGUGGCGUCCCUCCAUCUACAUCAGCGACCGCUCCAUGAGGUACGUCUCCGUCAAGCUUGGGUCCGGCGAAGAGUGGUGCCGCGCCCGCGUCGGCUCCGUCGUCGGGGCCGAGUUCUGGGGGCGGGGGUUUGCGACAGCCGCACUGAGGAUGGCCGCCCGCCGCGUGUUCGACAAAAUGCCUAAGUUCUUCCUGUCUGCACAUUCUCUCUGCGAGCGUCCAUUUCCAGAUGGGAACCCAACACACUCCUCCUUCCUUCUUCCUCCUUCUUCCUUCAUCCUCUUCUUCUUCAUGUUCAGAGAGCCUCUCUGCUUUCCCACAAAAUGAGAGGCGUUCACCACCACAAUCACCACAACAACAUCAACAAUCACAACAACAACAGCAUCGACACUGUAAACACCGCCGCAACUACGAUCGUCGCCGCUGAGGCUCACGCCCAGCCGGUCGCCGUUCAGGUACGUCUCUGCCGAGCUGUACCCCGCGCGCUUGUUUGCGGACGCGUAUGUCCCGCGGGCGUGGGUUGAUUUGGGUCUUGCGUAUUUUUCUCUUUGAUUUUUGAGCUCGAGGUUGGUGUGGGAGGAGGAGUCGAGACAUGAUUUGUGCAUUUCUACGUAUUCACGGCCUUGCGUUUGUCUAUUUAAAUUUGCGUUUUCUCCUUGAUUCUGAGCUUUCGGUUGGCGUCGAGCGCCUUAUCACGUGAAUCGAGUCAUUAGGUGUGCCUUGAUUGUCUUGUUUUGUGAGAUUUUUUUGGACGAGCUGUGGUUAGAGAUUUCACGUCUGUUUAGAUUGGAGCUACGAAGUCGUGAAUCGGGAAAGUAAAUGGAGGCAGUGUUGUGAUUCAUCAACACCAAAGGCAGAGGCAUUCUUCUUCCUUAGGUCCUGUUUUGUCGCCGAGAAGAUUGAUCUAGAUUUGUAAAGAGACAAAAGGGUCAUAUGGUCAGGCCGAUCUUCUAUAGGUUGGAUCCUUCUGAUUGCGAAAGCAAACUGGCAAAACAGGGGAUUAUUUAGCCAAACAUGAGGACAGGUUUGGGAAAGAUACUGAGAGGGUCAUGAAAUGCAGGAAAUCUGUUGAGGAUUUGGCUAAUUUGGUCGGGUGGCACUUCUCAAAAGGUGAGACCUUUUCCUUUUCUUUUUUCUAAGCUGAUGCAAUGGAACUUGCAGGGUUGAAUCAAAGCUCAUUCGGACAAUCGUUGAAGAAGUCUCAAGAAAAUUAAAUGGCUCCUCUUUGAAUGUUGCAACUCACCCGGUUGGCAUAGAUGACACCCUUAGAUGGAAUUAAUCCAAUUCUUGGAAUUGGUCUAGACGAUGUUCGUAUGAUUGACUUCUAUGGAAUUGGAGGCAUAGGCAAAUCCACUGUUGCCGAGGCCAUUUAAAAUUAAUGUUGGAUCGGAUUUCCUUUUCCAAGUAAUUUUCGAGAACUA